GGGCCCAUAGCUCAGUCUGGCAGAGCCACCGGCUCAUAACCGGUCGGUCCCUGGUUCGAAUCCAGGUGGGCCCACCA
rnacentral:tRNA from 1 species